rfam:Triticum aestivum genome assembly, contig: Triticum_aestivum_CS42_TGACv1_scaffold_249237_3DL
CGAAUACAGCCUCCGUCCCACAUUGCUUGUCUUAGAUUUGUAUAGACACAGAUGUAUCUAGACAUGAAACUGUGUCUAGAUACAUCCAUAUCUAGACUAAUUUAAGACAAAUAAUUUAGGACGGAAGAAGUAUAUA